AGAAGAAGUAGUAGUAGUAGAAGAAGAAGGUCAAGCUACAGGUGACUCCGUAGCAAGUUACCUGCAGUGACGUGAAGUUGUGUCUGCAGAAAGGGGACAUUAUCAUUACUUCUGAUGACGAAUUGAGGAUUUAUGAUGAUGGAUAAAAGAGGACCAAGAAGCAAGAAGCUUUCCCCGAAUCCUGGGAGAAUUUCUCUGCCUUGGCCGAUGAAAUGGUACUGGUAGACUGUUGGAGCCUUUUGCCUGGACUCUGCUUACUGUCAUUCCGAAUCUGCAGUCCAUCUCUCCGUUACUCAAGCUGCAUACCCCUGUCUAGGGUGACCCUCAAUCAACCGCUCUGCGAUAUUCUCCAGAAUCCUUGGCUGCCUGCGACCAAUGAAACAACCAGGAACAGCUCUGAUAAUCUCCUUCAUCCAUAUUGUGGAAGAGCUCAGCAGCGUGUGUGGAGGAGUGUCUCUUGUUCCCCCUGUCCUCUCCCUCUCCAGGAGCAUCAAAAGGAGGAGGACCCAUGCAGGGUGUUUGAAGAGCCCACCGACACUCCCCUAUGGGUGGUGAACUGGCAGAUGCUCAAACCACACAACUCUAUCUAGGCGGGAGGAGCAUCCUUCUCAUCUGCUUUUGUACCCCUGCCAUUGGUUUUCCUUGCAGCCAUGAACCAGACAUUAACUGUAUUGUCGUUUGUAGAUUUGUAUUCUAGCACAUAAAGUUGAGCAAUCGAUGGAUACCACUAACUCUUGCGUUUACAACUCAUCCUCCGGGCUUGGGGUCAAUCUUCUCUCUAGGUUUGUAGUUUGAAAAAUUCACCUUUAAAAGAGAUUUACCCAAUGAAAAGAAGACACUUUUUUUCUCUUACCUAUAGUGGUAUCCAGAAAUACUGAUAAUGUUGGUUUUGAGAUAUCAAUCUAUGAGAUUUCUUCUGCCACCCCAAUACAACAACCAUAUUUAUUUUAAAAUCUUAUAAUAUCCUCUUUAUGCACCAUCUCAUUUUGACAGGGUCCUCAAACUGUAGUUCCCAUACCGGGAAGGGAACCCAGACCACCCUGGUGAAAACUAGGAAUCCUAACCGCUAGAACAUAUGCGACUGAGGAAGUAUGGCGUUCCUAUAUUGCUGAGAAAUCGUACGGAGGAGGUCGGAGUUGAUGAUUUGGCGCACAAAGCACGCGCCCUGCAUCGCAUGUGUUGUCUUCCUUUCACCAUCCAUUACAAGUGUGUGACAGGUUCCAGACGGGUUGAGAGGGGAGAACAAUGUGUUGUGACCCUCAGUACCGCCCUCCAGCUCAGCGCCUGGCUCCAACUCCUUCUCCCAGCAGGCCGUGGGGGGCCUGGCCGCCGCCCCUCUGCCCGCCUCCCGCCUCCCACCUCCCCGCCUCACACCACCACCACCACCAGAAUCAAUCGCUCUGCGACACCAUACAAACGAUCCACUGAAGUCCAUGCAUCACAGUACAGUGCACCACCAACAAUGACCAGCCAUGUGGUUCAGGACUGAGAGAGAGGGAGCGAGAAUAAGAUGGAGAGUUAUUAUGGAGGGAGUAGACCAUGGCCUGGGAUGAGGGAUCCUACUUACCUUAGUGGCGCAAAUCAAUCGGGAUAUCAGGUGCCAGGUGGCCAUAUAAAGUCCAACCCACCAGGUGACGGGACUGUUAACUCUGUGGAGGGCUUCUGUGUGCAAAGGAUGGUAAAACCAUCAGGAAUUCUGUGUUUUGGCCUGUGACACGUGUGGUGUGUGGUCACUUCAGCUCAGAGAGAGAGAAAGAGACAGAAAGCAGCAGGUCAGGUGCCACCCUGGUGACCAAAAGAGGACACAUGCUUUUUACAGCUUGGAGGAUGUGGCAGUGGAGGGAGGUUGGUGUCAUGGGUCAAUGUCACUCAACCAGCCGUCUACUCAACGGAUGUGGAUCGCUGAGAUGAAACCUCCCAGUGGCUGACUUGUGUUUCCUUCCACUUUUCCUUCCGAUUGAGAGGUUGUUGAAAGUACCGCAGCUAGCCUACCCAGCGCCUGGAGUCCUCCCCUCCGCCUUGGGAAGGCUUGGCGAGUAAACAGUGUCUUUGCUGAUUACAACGCCUCUCUCUCUCUGCAUCCCAAGGAAUUUGAAUUCAUCGUGGGACAGGCAGACUCAGACAAACUACUAUUUAGAAAGUUUUUGGUUCCCGUGCACCUAAAGACCUUCGCAAUAAACAGAAGCACACUGGGUUAGCUGCUGCCUUUGUGGAUUCCUGGGGACUAAUUGAUCAGGUAUGAUAUGCUGUUUAAGACAGACUAAUGACAUGGAUGAUGCAACCAACAAAACAACUUUUGCCCUGUUGAGAAGAACAGCCAUGAUGUGCUUUGUGUUCAUGUCCUUACAGCUUAUUGUGGUGUAAGCAGGUUAGGUCAUGGUCAAUAAUGAAAAAUGGUUAACAUGUAUUAAGUAUAAGGUUUGGAGCAAGCAUGUUUUCAAAAUCGACCCUACUGCUAUGGGACCGCUGGAGAGCCUUUGGGAACAUGGUUUAAGGAUUCAUGUGGAGCGAUUGACUGUAUCGUACAAGACUUUUCCUGCCUUAAACUUUCUGUUAUGAUGGCAUUGGUAUCUGUGCAACACAUAACUUGUGAAUUCUCUGUGAGCGCAACAGUACUGCUCUCUGGCCUCCUGAAGGGUACCUAGUUAUGCUCCACUAACCUUACCAUCUGCAUCACGCUGCCAUUUUGGAGCCAAGAUAAAUCACAGAAGCCCCUGUCCACGCUGGGAAUAGCUUCUUCCAGAUAAGAAGGUCAAGGGUCACAUUUCUGGCCAAGGUUGACUGUCCUCGGGGCUAAAUAAAGAGCCUAGGGGUUGCAGAGCAGCGCAGGCCAGCGCAGGCUCUCACACUCAAUUAAGAUCAAAACAACCAUCAAACUUGAACUUGGAUUUCAGUUACUGAAAGACAACUAAGUGGAGCAGGAAACCUUUUGGAUGAAAACAUCAGUAAUUCACAGUAACACACACUCAACCUUGAUAUAUUUGGAGAGGAAUGGCCAUAACUGAUUAAUAGACAAACAUGAAGGGUUUCAGUUUAUUAAUCAGCAGCAGCUGUUUUCAACAUUAGUCUGCCAUUGUUAUGCGGUUUCUAAGGUGUUUGUUUAUUCUGUGCUAACCUAACAGGACCUCUGACCCAGAUGGUGGAAUGUGAGAGGAGAGACACGGUGUGGGAGGUCACCGUCAUCAUUUACAUCCUAAACACAUGACAGGCUGUCAGGCAGAGGUUAAAGCUGGUCAAGUUCACACAGGACAGCACAGAUCCUAAUACACUGUGAGGAGAGAGGACUCUUUACAUAUGAAAAAACAAUUAUAUAAUACAAUGCAAUAAGCAUGACCUUUGUUUAACUUACUGUGUGUUUAUCUUUAUUUUUAACUCGUGUCAGAGGUGUUGAUCAAACCAUUUUCAAGGCUGUAAUUUGUGGUGGUUUUGUGUUACAUUUUAUAGUAUGGUAUUUCUUUUAUUUUGUCCACCUCUUUACACUCACCACAUCAUUGAAUGUAUGCGCACAUAAUUCAUUCAUUUACAAUGUAGUUAUUCACCUUGAUACCAAUGAAUAUGUGCAACAAGAAAAAAAAGAGGGAGAAAAGGUAUCUUGAAUGUUCCCGAUGUGUAGCAGACUCUCCGUCAACCCUGGCAAAACCCAUUCAUAUGAAAAGACUGAAUACAUUUGCAUAGAGAAAAACAGAAAUGGGUCCUUGUCCAAAUGAGAAUAUGGUACAGCCAAACGUGAAAAAAAAAAAACACUGAUUUCAGGUUGUCCUUGUCAUCCUUUGAUCCCUUGUGAAAAGGCUAGACAGUCAUGCUGCAGUGAUCAGUCAGGGUCAAAGUCAUACUCCACUUUCCCUCCCUCCUCCCUCCUGUGUCUCCACUGUAGUUUUGUAGCUCUGGCAGCUGGUGGUGCUGUAAGACUUGAGUCUCCCCUCGCUUUUCUCCUACAUAACAAGGCUGUCACCUAUUCUAUCCUCCUUUGUCCUCUUCCCCUCCAUCACUCACCUCCAUACGUCAACGCUGAGCCUCUGCAGCAUCCUCCACCAAGCCCCCUGAGCCAUUCUGCUUUGCUGGGGGUGAAUGGGGGACCAGUGCCAUACACCAACUAUACCAGUCAGAGGGGAAAAAAGGCAUCUUAGAAUAAAACUAUGUGAAAUAAAAAAGGGUUGGUUAUUUUUCACAUU